UACGUAGGUGGCGAGCGUUGUCCGGAUUUACUGGGCGUAAAGAGCGCGCAGGCGGUCGUGCAAGUCGCGUGUGAAAGCCCCCGGCUCAACUGGGGAGGGUCACGCGAUACUGCUCGACUCGAAGGCAGGAGAGGGAAGCGGAAUUCCGGGUGUAGCGGUGAAAUGCGUAGAUAUCCGGAGGAACACCGGUGGCGAAGGCGGCUUCCUGGACCGACACUGACGCUGAGGCGCGAAAGCUAGGGGAGCAAACGGG
rnacentral:rRNA from 1 species